GACAGAGGGGGCUAGCGUUGUUCGGAAUUACUGGGCGUAAAGCGCACGUAGGCGGCUUUGUAAGUUAGAGGUGAAAGCCUGGGGCUCAACUCCAGAAUUGCCUUUAAGACUGCAUCGCUUGAACGUCGGAGAGGUGAGUGGAAUUCCGAGUGUAGAGGUGAAAUUCGUAGAUAUUCGGAAGAACACCAGUGGCGAAGGCGGCUCACUGGACGACUGUUGACGCUGAGGUGCGAAAGCGUGGGGAGCAAACAGG
rnacentral:rRNA from 1 species